GUCAGCAGUGCUCAAAGAUGAUUUCAUGGUAUCAGACAAUUCUGGAGCAACUUGACCACUCUCUGAUCCAACAUUAAGGGCAAGUAACUCAUCUAAAUUGUUUCCUGAAGUAUUACCCAAGGGUGUUGAGUUCCUUCUUGAACUGAGGUCCAUGCCAUUUACAGCAAUUACAUAUUCAAUCUCUGAACCACCCUCCGCACUCCCGACACCAAUUUGAGAAUCCUCCAAAUCACUAAUAGAAAACAAG
rnacentral:misc_RNA from 1 species